GGGCGCGUAGCUCAGGCGGUUCAGAGCGCUUCCCUUACAAGGAAGAAGCCGGGGGUUCAAGUCCCUCCGCGCCCACCA
rnacentral:tRNA from 1 species